UACACACAGAGGGACUCGUGGCACCA
rnacentral:piRNA from 1 species